UGCAGUCGAACGAACUCUGGUAUUGAUUGGUGCUUGCAUCAUGAUUUACAUUUGAGUGAGUGGCGAACUGGUGAGUAACACGUGGGAAACCUGCCCAGAAGCGGGGGAUAACACCUGGAAACAGAUGCUAAUACCGCAUAACAACUUGGACCGCAUGGUCCGAGUUUGAAAGAUGGCUUCGGCUAUCACUUUUGGAUGGUCCCGCGGCGUAUUAGCUAGAUGGUGGGGUAACGGCUCACCAUGGCAAUGAUACGUAGCCGACCUGAGAGGGUAAUCGGCCACAUUGGGACUGAGACACGGCCCAAACUCCUACGGGAGGCAGCAGUAGGGAAUCUUCCACAAUGGACGAAAGUCUGAUGGAGCAACGCCGCGUGAGUGAAGAAGGGUUUCGGCUCGUAAAACUCUGUUGUUAAAGAAGAACAUAUCUGAGAGUAACUGUUCAGGUAUUGACGGUAUUUAACCAGAAAGCCACGGCUAACUACGUGCCAGCAGCCGCGGUAAUACGUAGGUGGCAAGCGUUGUCCGGAUUUAUUGGGCGUAAAGCGAGCGCAGGCGGUUUUUUAAGUCUGAUGUGAAAGCCUUCGGCUCAACCGAAGAAGUGCAUCGGAAACUGGGAAACUUGAGUGCAGAAGAGGA
rnacentral:rRNA from 2 species